GACGAACGCUGGCGGCGUGCUUAACACAUGCAAGUCGAACGGAAAGGCCCUGCUUUUGUGGGGUGCUCGAGUGGCGAACGGGUGAGUAACACGUGAGUAACCUGCCCUUGACUUUGGGAUAACUUCAGGAAACUGGGGCUAAUACCGGAUAGGAGCUCCUGCUGCAUGGUGGGGGUUGGAAAGUUUCGGCGGUUGGGGAUGGACUCGCGGCUUAUCAGCUUGUUGGUGGGGUAGUGGCUUACCAAGGCUUUGACGGGUAGCCGGCCUGAGAGGGUGACCGGCCACAUUGGGACUGAGAUACGGCCCAGACUCCUACGGGAGGCAGCAGUGGGGAAUAUUGCACAAUGGGCGGAGGCCUGAUGCAGCAACGCCGCGUGCGGGAUGACGGCCUUCGGGUUGUAAACCGCUUUCGCCUGUGACGAAGCGUGAGUGACGGUAAUGGGUAAAGAAGCACCGGCUAACUACGUGCCAGCAGCCGCGGUGAUACGUAGGGUGCGAGCGUUGUCCGGAUUUAUUGGGCGUAAAGGGCUCGUAGGUGGUUGAUCGCGUCGGAAGUGUAAUCUUGGGGCUUAACCCUGAGCGUGCUUUCGAUACGGGUUGACUUGAGGAAGGUAGGGGAGAAUGGAAUUCCUGGUGGAGCGGUGGAAUGCGCAGAUAUCAGGAGGAACACCAGUGGCGAAGGCGGUUCUCUGGGCCUUUCCUGACGCUGAGGAGCGAAAGCGUGGGGAGCGAACAGGCUUAGAUACCCUGGUAGUCCACGCUGUAAACGGUGGGUACUAGGUGUGGGGUCCAUUCCACGGGUUCCGUGCCGUAGCUAACGCUUUAAGUACCCCGCCUGGGGAGUACGGCCGCAAGGCUAAAACUCAAAGGAAUUGACGGGGCCCCGCACAAGCGGCGGAGCAUGCGGAUUAAUUCGAUGCAACGCGUAGAACCUUACCUGGGUUUGACAUGGAUCGGGAGUGCUCAGAGAUGGGUGUGCCUCUUUUGGGGUCGGUUCACAGGUGGUGCAUGGCUGUCGUCAGCUCGUGUCGUGAGAUGUUGGGUUAAGUCCCGCAACGAGCGCAACCCUUGUUCACUGUUGCCAGCACGUUAUGGUGGGGACUCAGUGGAGACCGCCGGGGUCAACUCGGAGGAAGGUGGGGAUGACGUCAAGUCAUCAUGCCCCUUAUGUCCAGGGCUUCACGCAUGCUACAAUGGCUGGUACAGAGAGUGGCGAGCCUGUGAGGGUGAGCGAAUCUCGGAAAGCCGGUCUCAGUUCGGAUUGGGGUCUGCAACUCGACCUCAUGAAGUCGGAGUCGCUAGUAAUCGCAGAUCAGCAACGCUGCGGUGAAUACAUUCCCGGGGCU
rnacentral:rRNA from 1 species